rnacentral:rRNA from 1 species
CUGACCUCAAAUCAGGAGGNCUACCCGCUGAACUUAAGCAUAUCAAUAAGCGGAGGCAAAAGAAACUAACAAGGANUCCCCUAGUAACUGCGAGUGAAGCGGGAA